UGAGAGGACAGAGUGUUGAAUGAAACAAAU
rnacentral:piRNA from 1 species